UUUGUUCCAGAUGUGUGGAGCAUAAAAACUAAAAGCUGCUUCUCCCUGUUUAGUUCAGACUCUGGGGACUGAGAGCAGACCUGUACCAGAGGACCUGAGCAGAGGACCUGAUGGAUCUGGA